CCAUCCAGCUGAGCAGCGGUGCAAGCUCUUGGAGCCUGGAGGUUCUUCAGGCAGCCUCAGGUCACAGGACAUAUGAACCCUGCAUGCACCAGAGUACUGGAGCUCUAAACCAUGAAAAAUACAUGUUGUAUAUUUUGCAUCACAUCAAAGGCUAUCACACAGGUGCUGAUAGACUGCUUGAGCCUGAUCAGUUUGUCAAGUGAAGAAAAUAAGAAUUACCCUCUUCAUAGGACUUUUGAGGACUUUCAAGCACUCUGAAAAGAACAGCAAUCCUCCAGUAACGUUCCUA